rnacentral:rRNA from 1 species
UACGUAGGUGGCAAGCGUUAUCCGGAUUUACUGGGCGCAAAGGGCGGGCAGGCGGUCUGUUAAGUCUAGGGUGAAAGCUCCCGGCUCAACUGGGAGAGGUCCUUGGAUACUGGCGGACUUGAGGGAUGCAGAGGAAAGUGGAAUUCCCGGUGUAGUGGUGAUAUGCGUAGAUAUCGGGAGGAACACCAGUGGCGAAGGCGGCUUUCUGGGCAUUUCCUGACGCUGAGACGCGAAAGCGUGGGGAGCGAACCGG